UCUCGAUAGCGUCAAAGUUAAUUUAAAUUUGUAUGGAGUUGAAACGUUUGCCUGCGUUUGCCGCUAGGGGCGCUGUUCCAACGACAUACAAUUUUGAGUUAACUUUACGCUAUCGA
rnacentral:pre_miRNA from 9 species